CCUACGGGAGGCUGCAGUGGGGAAUAUUGGACAAUGGGGGGAACCCUGAUCCAGCGAUGCCGCGUGAGUGAUGAAGGCCUUCGGGUUGUAAAGCUCUUUCACCUGAGAAGAUAAUGACGGUAUCAGGAGAAGAAGCACCGGCUAACUCUGUGCCAGCAGCCGCGGUAAUACAGAGGGUGCUAGCGUUGUUCGGAAUGACUGGGCGUAAAGGGCGCGUAGGCGGCCUAUUAAGUCAGGCGUGAAAUCCCCGGGCUCAACCUGGGAACGGCGUUUGA
rnacentral:rRNA from 1 species